UUUGUUUGUUUUGUCUUAUCAUUAGAUAAACUUUCUUCUUAGAAGUAAGAAAAGAAAAUAAUUUAUCUUUAUAAAAUUUGACCAAAAAAUUUGCCUUAUAUCUUAUAAGUCUUUUAUAAAUGUUUCUUAACUUUGGAUAUUCUCAUUGAUUAAAAUUCCUACAUUUUUUCAUCAACUUAGAUAAUUCAUCACAAAUUAAAAAUAAAUUUGGUGUUUCUUUAUUAAAAUGUUUCUUAUAGUUUUUUCAAUCCUUCAUUUUAUUUUUGAAAGAAUAUAUAUAUAGCAUUGCAAAUAAAAAAUAUUUAUAUUAUAAAAACAUGUUUAAUUGACUUUGUUUCAUCAUCUAAUACUUCAAAAGCUAUAUAUCUUGGUGUAUUAUAAAUAAAAUUAUUAUUAUUAUUUUCUAGAGACCUUCCAAUAUUAAUCUUAAAGGUACCAAAAUUACUUGUUUUUAAUA
rnacentral:lncRNA from 1 species